UUCUGUUUUAUACAUCUUAGAAAUUGAUAUCUGAUUUCACUAUUUUUAUUCGUUGUACAUCUUUAUUUAUUCUUGUUUUUAAGAUUUUUUUUUUUAAUUCUAUUUGUGUUCUAUUUUCAUUCAUUCUGUUUUUAUUGCUUUUAAACAUGAAACCGAAUGCCCUUGGUUUAGCUGCUGGACGUGUCCACGUUGUAUGCUGUCACAUACACAUGUCUCUGUGAACCCCACCUGGGCAUGUCCCAUCGCUCCUGCGCUGCCAGCACACAGCAGUGGAGGAAGCCAGAGCUGUGGUAUGAGCCACAAGAACAAAGCACAAAGGCAGUGGUGUGUUUGGCCAACACCACACUAAUGGGUCCAGCUGCAAGGUGCCAAAGGGUAGGAGCAGCCCAACAAGUUCUAGAUAGACAGCUUGUGUUCUGCUUCCUGCACGCAGCCCAGCUUCUCCAGUCUUGCCGGAGUGUUUGAUUAAACAUUUAGAGUGAAAUAAAACAAAAUUUCAAUUGUUGUAUCUCA
rnacentral:lncRNA from 1 species